AGAGCCUGUGCGUGCUUCGAAGCCUCCUCUCCGACCAUUACUGCGCGGGUGUAUCGCCUUUCACCAUCUUGGGCAUCCAGGAACGCCCACAAGCAGUCUGCAGACAGCUGUGACGAUCCUUGGAGAUUGGUGCGGCCUCGAACUAUCAACAAGACACAGCAGGGAAUUCGCUGCAGGCAGCUCACAUAGGCACUUUUGAUGGUUUGAGCUCUGUAGCAAUCCACAUAGAGGGGCUGAGGGCAGAAAGGCACACAGCUGGUACACGCUCCCCCAAGUAGAACAAGUUGCAUCAGCUUGCAGCCAGGCCAAACGGGGGACAAGUAGCUCGGCGGCGCUAUAGGCUUGCGACCAUGACUUCGUCUCGCGACCAGCCUUCUGUAAGCAACAGCCAUCCGGAUGAAGAAGCUGGUCCCUCAAGGCAGCCCGAUUGCCGGUGCGCGGCCCAGACUCCUAGUCAACAUUCCAACGCUCGUGUAGCUGUAGAUGGUGAAGCUUUAUGGCUCAGAUCUCCAAAAGUUGAAUCGAUCUUGCUUUAUCCUUGUGCAUGAGUAUUAAUAUAGGUGUAUGUCGUUUCCAAAUCUUGCGUCUUGUAGCGUUUAGGUGUCUUCUCACGAUGUCACGCUUUGAUGAUACCCCAAUUUUACUCAUAGAAUGCCACACGGGACACCAAAUCAAUUCGCCGGCCGCCGACAUGACUUCAUGUUCGUGGAAGAGUUUACUAGGAUUGAGAGAAGUAGCGGGCUUACUUCUCGUGGCGGCAUGCGGUCGAGUGUUAUCUGAUGAACUCGCAGUCAGGACACGUUUGCUGGAACCAUCUCACGGCCCUGCUUUUUUGUGGUUGGAUUGCGACCUGAAGGUUGCCGAGUGCAUUUGCAGGCAUGGCCAAGCAGACAACAACAGUAUCUUGAGAUCUACCAGGAGGAGGGGUGCCUGGCUGCUCUGUGGUAUUCUACUAUCGUUGCAACCGCAGAUUUCACUGGCUGUCACCCCCUUGACAGAUUGGAGAGCCGGCAUUGCCACGAAUUAUGGUGGGCCAUAUGAUGGCAAGAAUCCAUAUGACCCGAGUUGGGG
rnacentral:lncRNA from 1 species